GAUUAACGCUAGCGGCAGGCCUAAUACAUGCAAGUCGCACGGGAUUUCGGGUAGCAAUAUCUGAAUGAGAGUGGCGCACGGGUGCGUAACACGUAUGCAAUCUACCUUUAACUGGGGAAUAGCUCACCGAAAGGUGAAUUAAUACCGCAUAAAAUCACAGAAGGACAUCCUUCAAUGAUUAAACCUACGGGGGUUAAAGAUGAGCAUGCGUCCGAUUAGCUAGUGGCGGGGUAAUAGCCCACCAAGGCAACGAUCGGUAGGGGUCUGAGAGGAUGAUCCCCCACCACUGGUAC
rnacentral:rRNA from 1 species